GGCCAGACUCCUACGGGAGGCAGCAGUGGGGAAUAUUGCACAAUGGGGGGAACCCUGAUGCAGCGACGCCGCGUGAGUGAAGAAGUAUUUCGGUAUGUAAAGCUCUAUCAGCAGGGAAGAAGAUGACGGUACCUGACUAAGAAGCCCCGGCUAACUACGUGCCAGCAGCCGCGGUAAUACGUAGGGGGCAAGCGUUAUCCGGAUUUACUGGGUGUAAAGGGAGCGUAGACGGCAUGGCAAGCCAGAUGUGAAAUACCGGGGCUCAACCCCGGGACUGCAUUUGGAACUGUUAAGCUGGAGUGUCGGAGAGGCAGGCGGAAUUCCUAGUGUAGCGGUGAAAUGCGUAGAUAUUAGGAGGAACACCAGUGGCGAAGGCGGCCUGCUGGGCUUUUACUGACGCUGAGGCUCGAAAGUGUGGGGAGCAAACAGGAUUAGAUACCCGAGUA
rnacentral:rRNA from 1 species